AAUAUUGGACAAUGGGCGCAAGCCUGAUCCAGCAAUACCGCGUGUGUGAAGAAGGCCUUAGGGUUGUAAAGCACUUUUAUGUGGGAAGAAGGUGCAUUUGUUAAUAGCAGAUGUAUUUGACGGUACCACAAGAAUAAGCACCGGCUAACUCCGUGCCAGCAGCCGCGGUAAUACGGAGGGUGCGAGCGUUAAUCGGAAUUACUGGGCGUAAAGGGUACGUAGGCGGCUUAAUAAGUCAGAUGUGAAAUCCCCGGGCUUAACCUGGGAACUGCAUUUGAAACUGUUUGGCUAGAGUGAGUGAGAGGUUAGUGGAAUUCAAGGCGUAGCGGUGAAAUGCGUAGAGGUCUUGAGGAACAUCAGUGGCGAAGGCGACUAACUGGCACUACACUGACGCUGAGGUACGAAAGCGUGGGGAGCGAACAGGAUUAGAUACCCUGGUAGUCCACGCCCUA
rnacentral:rRNA from 1 species